UCUCUCCGCUAACAGUUUUGGCGACCCAGAUGGGACCUCGCGAGCAUUGUUGAGGCGGCUCGGGCAUCGAUCCAGCUCCAGCCGGCACCGAGUGAUUCUCGGGGAGCCAUCGACCGCGACCGACCUCCGGUGCUCUCGACGGACCAAUGGCAUUGGUAAGAGACGCUGCAGUUGCUUCACCAC